GAAUCCUGCAGGUUCUUGAUAUUGAUGGUGGUGGUGGUUUUAGUAGUUUUGGGAUUCUUGAAGCUCUGGUGGCUGGUUUCUUGGGGUUUUGUUUCUAAUUCUGUGUUAUUGGGUUUUUUGGGUAUUGGAGAAGUUAAAGGACAUGAAAGGUCCAUGGAUCUUGAACUGGUAGAGCCAAUGAUUUUGAUCUUGGAAUACCCUUUCAUUU
rnacentral:misc_RNA from 1 species